rnacentral:tRNA from 4 species
GACCUAUGUAGUGAAAUUCACAGUGAGUUGCAAACUCAUUAAUGUACAUUAAAUAUGUGCCAAGGUCU